GAUUGUAAAGCACUUUAAGUUGGGAGGAAGGGCAGUAAGCUAAUACCUUGCUGUUUUGACGUUACCGACAGAAUAAGCACCGGCUAACUCUGUGCCAGCAGCCGCGGUAAU
rnacentral:rRNA from 1 species